GUCCACGCCGUAAACGUUGGGCACUAGGUGUGGGUCUCAACCAACGGGAUCCGUGCCGUAGCUAACGCACUAAGUGCCCCGCCUGGGGAGUACGGCCGCAAGGCUAAAACUCAAAGGAAUUGACGGGGCCCGCACAAGCGGCGGAGCAUGUUGCUUAAUUCGAGGCAACGCGAAGAACCUUACCUGGGUUUGACAUGUAGGGAAAAGCCGUAGAGAUACGGUGUCCUUCGGGGUCCUACACAGGUGGUGCAUGGCUGUCGU
rnacentral:rRNA from 1 species